rnacentral:rRNA from 1 species
UGACCGCUGGCGGCGUGCCUAAUACAUGCAAGUCGCGCGAACAGACGCGGAGCUUGCUCCUCUGACGUUAGCGGCGGACGGGUGAGUAACACGUGGAUAACCUACCUAUAAGACUGGGAUAACUUCGGGAAACCGGAGCUAAUACCGGAUAAUAUAUUGAACCGCAUGGUUCAAUAGUGAAAGACGGUUUUGCUGUCACUUAUAGAUGGAUCCGCGCCGCAUUAGCUAGUUGGUAAGGUAACGGCUUACCAAGGCAACGAUGCGUAGCCGACCUGAGAGGGUGAUCGGCCACACUGGAACUGAGACACGGUCCAGACUCCUACGGGAGGCAGCAGUAGGGAAUCUUCCGCAAUGGGCGAAAGCCUGACGGAGCAACGCCGCGUGAGUGAUGAAGGUCUUCGGAUCGUAAAACUCUGUUAUUAGGGAAGAACAAAUGUGUAAGUAACUAUGCACGUCUUGACGGUACCUAAUCAGAAAGCCACGGCUAACUACGUG